UACGUAGGGCGCAAGCGUUGUCCGGAAUUAUUGGGCGUAAAGAGCUCGUAGGCGGCUUGUCACGUCGAUUGUGAAAGCCCGAGGCUUAACCUCGGGUCUGCAGUCAAUACGGGCUAGCUAGAGUGUGGUAGGGGAGAUCGGAAUUCCUGGUGUAGCGGUGAAAUGCGCAGAUAUCAGGAGGAACACCGGUGGCGAAGGCGGAUCUCUGGGCCAUUACUGACGCUGAGGAGCGAAAGCGUGGGGAGCGAACAGG
rnacentral:rRNA from 1 species